rnacentral:rRNA from 1 species
AGCAGCCGCGGUAAUUCCAGCUCCAAUAGCGUAUAUUAAAGUUGUUGCAGUUAAAAAGCUCGUAGUUGAAUUUCGAGAUCAAAUUGUUGGUCGUGCCUCGGUACGUACUGGCAUUAUUGAUUUCUCCCUUCUGAAGAACCUUGAUGUCAUUAAUUUGGUGUCUUGGGGAAUCAGGACCGUUACUUUGAAAAAAUUAGAGUGUUUAAAGCAGGCUCACGCUUGAAUACAUUAGCAUGGAAUAAUGAAAUAGGACGUCUGAUUCUAUUUUGUUGGUUUCUAGGAUCGACGUAAUGAUUAAUAGGGAUAGUUGGGGGCAUUAGUAUUCAAUUGUCAGAGGUGAAAUUCUUGGAUUUAUUGAAGACUAACUACUGCGAAAGCAUUUGCCAAGGAUGUUUUCAUUAAUCAAGAACGAAAGUUAGGGGAUCGAAGACGAUCAGAUACCGUCGUAGUCUUAACCAUAAACUAUGCCGACUAGGGAUCGGAUGAUGUUAAUUUUUAAUGACUCAUUCGGCG